rnacentral:rRNA from 1 species
AGUCGAACGGGAUCUUCGGAUCUAGUGGCGGACGGGUGAGUAACGCGUGAGAAUCUGGCUUCAGGUUCGGGAUAACAGUUGGAAACGACUGCUAAUACCGGAUAAGCCUUGUGGUGAAAGAUAAAUUGCCUGAAGAUGAGCUCGCGUCCGAUUAGCUAGUUGGUGUGGUAAAGGCGCACCAAGGCGGCGAUCGGUAGCUKGUCUGAGAGGACGACCAGCCMCCACUGGGACUGAGACACGGCCCAGAYUCCUACGGGAGGGCAGCAGUGGGGAAUUUUCCGCAAUGGGCGAAAGCCUGACGGAGCAAUACCGCGUGAGGGAGGAAGGCUCUUGGGUUGUAAACCUCUUUUUCUCAGGGAAUAAGUACUGAAGGUACCUGAGGAAUCAGCAUCGGCUAACUCCGUGCCAGCAGCCGCGGUAAUACGGAGGAUGCAAGCGUUAUCCGGAAUGAUUGGGCGUAAAGCGUUCGUAGGUGGCUCAUCAAGUCGGCGGUCAAAGAGUCUGGCUUAACCAGAUAAAGGCAGUGGAAACUGAAGAGCUAGAGAAUGGUAGGGGUAGAGGGAAUUCCUGGUGUAGCGGUGAAAUGCGUAGAGAUCAGGAAGAACACCGGUGGCGAAAGCGCUCUGCUGGACCAUAACUGACACUGAGGGACGAAAGCUAGGGGAGCGAAUGGGAUUAGAUACCCCAGUAGUCCUAGCCGUAAACGAUGGAUACUAGGCGUUGCCCGUAUCGACCCGGGCAGUGUCGUAGCCAACGCGUUAAGUAUCCCGCCUGGGGAGUACGCACGCAAGUGUGAAACUCAAASGAAUUGACGGGGGACCCGCACAAGCGGUGGGAGUAUGUGGUUURA